rnacentral:rRNA from 1 species
AGAGUUUGAUCAUGGCUCAGAACGUACGCUGGCGGCACGCCUAACACAUGCAAGUCGAACGCAGUAGCAAUACUGAGUGGCGAACGGGUGAGUAUAAUGUGGGUAUCUGCCUUUUGGUUUGGAAUAACACGAGGAAACUUGUGCUAAUACCGAAUAAGCCCUUACGGGGAAAGUUUUAACGCCAAAAGAUGAGCCCGCACUUGAUUAGCUAGUUGGUAAGGUAAUGGCUUACCAAGGCUACGAUCAAUAGCUGAUCUGAGAGGAUGAUCAGCCACAUUGGGACUGAGACACGGCCCAGACUCCUACGGGAGGCAGCAGUGGGGAAUCUUGCACAAUGGGGGAAACCCUGAUGCAGCGAUGCCGCGUGAGUGAAGAAGGCCUUUGGGUUGUAAAGCUCUUUCGUCGGGGAAGAAAAUGACUGUACCCGAAUAAGAAGGUCCGGCUAACUUCGUGCCAGCAGCCGCGGUAAUACGAAGGGACCUAGCGUAGUUCGGAAUUACUGGGCUUAAAGAGCUCGUAGGUGGUUAGAAAAGUUGGUGGUGAAAUCCCAAGGCUUAACCUUGGAACUGCCACCAAAACUUUUUGACUAGAGUGUGAUAGAGGAAAGUGGAAUUUCUAGUGUAGAGGUGAAAUUCGUAGAUAUUAGAAGGAACACCGAUUGCGAAGGCAACUUUCUGGAUCAUUACUGACACUGAGGAGCGAAAGCAUGGGUAGC